UGCAACUUAGUUUAUUUAGAACAGUCAACCUGCACUUGACAAGAGAGAUAUCUCAGUAGCGACC
rnacentral:tRNA from 1 species